rnacentral:rRNA from 1 species
AUUGAACGCUGGCGGCAGGCCUAACACAUGCAAGUCGAGCGCGCGGCGGACGGGUGAGUAAUGUAUGGGACUCUGCCCUAUAGAGGGGGAUCACUACUGGACACGAUGGCUAAUCCCGCAUACUAUCGGAUGAACCCAUAUGGGAUUAGCUAGUAGGUGGGGUAAAGGCUCACAUAGGCGACUGUCUCUAGCUUGUCUGAGAGGAUGAUCAGCCACACUGGGACUGAGACACGGCCCAGACUCCUACGGUAGGAAGCAGUGGGGAAUAUUGCACAAUGGGCGCAAGCCUGAUGCAGCCAUGCCGCGUGUAUGAAGAAGGCCUUAGGGUUGUAAAGGACUUUCAGCGGGGAGGCGUUACCCGCAGAAGAAGCACCGGCUAACUCCGUGCCAGCAGCCGCGGUAAUUC